AUUCCUGGUUCAUCCUGAUUCCCUCAGUGGCUUGCUCCUGCAUUAGUAAUGUAAAACUGGCCCAAAAGGGUUUAAAAUUGUCAGAAGUUGAUCUUGAUCAGUUCAAAUAUUUUUUGACAAAGAAAAUCAGUUCUGGUCAGUUCAAAUCUAUUUUGACCAGUUUAAACCAAUUCUGCAGAACUCGAGCCUGUGGUCGGUAAACCCAGGAAGAUGGCUGAAGACUAUGCUGAUUCAAGCCAAAGCAAGGAAUCAGCAAUGUGAAAAUGGACUAAUACAAUGGCGUUGGUUUCUAAUGGUUUAACACUAUCACCCUGAGUGCUGUUCUCCUAACAGUGACUGGGAAUGGAAAAGUCUUCUGGAUGCACAUCUUCCUGGAGUCUGACUCAGCUGGGGAUAAAAAGAAGCAAAAGAAAUGCAUAGGGAGGAGAGAAAAAAGAAGGAAUGCAAGACAGGAAUAAUAAACAAGAACCAGGAAAGAAAAGAUAAGCAAAGUGAAGAGGAGAAGAAAUGAGAAAAGAGUAGAGUGAAGCAGAAGGCAAAAAGAAAAAGAAGAAAGAAUAGUAGCUGAGAAGGGGUUUAACCAAGGUGUCACUAGGCACAGUGCUGCUAAUAUCCACUGUUCACUCAUGAUACCUCCUCCCAUUACAAAAGCCUUGUGACCUGGAACUUGACUUCAGAAAACAGCUAAUAAAUAAACAAUCCCAAACCAAGAGAUGAUCAACAGAAAUAUCUUUUUAAUCCUUCCCAGCAAAAGAAAUGUCAUUUUUUCUUCUGUUCUUCAAGAGGUAAACAAGUCUUGUUUCCUAGAAACAGUUGGGAAUGUAAGGAGGAAUAUUAUCUGUUCUUGCCAGCCCCUAAGUUUAUUCCAGGGAUCCAAUUUCCUUUUUCCAUCAUACCGGUUCUUUAGACAACCAAUUUGCAGAUACAAAACUCCACACCCAUCAGAUAUGUGCCAAAGUAGAGACAUUUGUAUUCCAUCAGAGACCCGAGGCUUUGAACAAUGCUCUCUGUCUUGAGGUGGCCCCACCUAAAUACUUUUAUACAAAAGAACAACUAAUUUCUACAAGUUUUUUUUUAAGAAAAAUACUGUAAACAUCUGCAUAGACACUCACUGUCUUACCUUGGCUUUUAUAUGUUUGAUUCCUGGUUCUGCUGUACUCAUUCCUCCUCUCCCAAUAUCUUUUAUAGCUGUUACAUUUCUACUCUAAACCCUUGUACCCUCAACUGUCUAUAGCCUCCAGCCAUCUCUCUCCAGCUUCUCAUCACAUGGCUCCAGUGGGAAAAGUAAAUUAUAAAGGAAAUCAUUAGUCAAGUAACCCUAGAAAGAAUCACUCAGCAAACCAUCUGCUUUUUUCUACCUUGAGGAAUCUGUCCUUAUUUAAACUCUAUCAGAGAUCAAAUUGUACCAAGACAUACAGUUAGAUAGAAGAAAUAAAACCUAGCAUUUGAUUAAUCAGUAGGAUGACUUUAGUUAACAUUAAUCUACUGUACAUUUCAAAAUGGCUAGAAGGGAAUCAUUUAAAUGCUUUUAGCAUAAAGAAAAGAGAGAGAUGUUCAAGCUGAUGGAUGUAUUAAUCAGUUUUCACACUGCUAAUAAAGACCUACCUGAGACUGGGAAAUUUACUAAAGAAAGAGAUUUAGUGGACUCACAGUUCCACAUGGCUGGAGAGGCCUCACAGUCAUGGCAGAAGGUGGAAAGAACAUAUUACAUGGUGAGAGAAGAGAAGUUGCAUGAAAGAACUUCUCUUUAUAAAACCAUCAGAUCUCAUGAGAUUUAUUCACUAUCAUGAGAACAGCAUGGGAAAGACCCACCUCCAUGAUUUGAUUACCUCCCACGGGGUCCCUUCCACAACACGUGGGAAUUCAAGAUGAGAUUUGGGUGGGGACACAGCCAAGCUAUAUCAAUGGACAUCUCAAUUACUCUGAUUUGAUAUUAUAUUAAUGUAUUGUCACAUUUACCGCAAAAUAUGUACAUC
rnacentral:lncRNA from 1 species